AGCAAUUGUAAACUAUGAAUUGAAGACAUGAGUUGAUAAAGGUGCUAUGUCCAUUUUUUUCAAAAAAUGACUUAUUUGUAUAUUUGGUUACCUAAAGUCGUAAUACAACCCCUGAAUAACUCAAGAUUCUUAAAUUGUUAAUAAUAAGGAUUAUUUUAAUUGAUAAAGGUACUAUGUCCUAUGACUAAGUACCCUUUUUAAUUAGAUAAAGGUGCUAUGUCCUUAAAUAUGUCCAUAUUUAAGGACAUAGCACCUUUAUCCACUAGAUAGUGGGAAAGUUUUAUUUACAUGGUAGGUGCCAUGUGACAUUUUAAGGUUAUGUUUGUUGUUUAUCACAUCGUUCAACAUGGGGUCGAGAAGUAAAAGAAUGUUAGAAUUAGUAAAAAACAAGAAAAUAUGUGUUUUAAAUAAAGGUAAGUCCGAAUAGAGAAUUUUUUUGUAGAUAGAAAAUGUAUUUUGUACUUCCUUAGAGGUCAAUACCAAUGCGGUGAUUUUGGAGCAGCCAAGCACUAGUGGGCUUCAAAAGAAGGUUAACUCUAAAGCAGACUAUAUGGAUAAUUGUACUGAUGAAAGUGUUAUAUCAGGCAGCGAAUAUUCCCCUUCCAGUGAAGAAGAUUCAGAAGAGGAUUCUGAUAACUCAAAUAUUUCUUAUUCGACGAGUCUCAUAAACAAAUAUCCGGAUGUUGAUAGAGUCAAACGUAAAAUGUUUCCGGAUAACCAAAAAAUUAAAAAGGUUCCGACAAGCAGCAGGGAAACCCCGGAUAGGAUUGACGUCAUUGACGAAGUGCAGGAGGAAAUACCUCGGGAAAUACGUAUAGAAGACCAUAACCAGCAAUUCCAUGUUACUGCCGAUGGAAUAAGUAAAAGAGAAAUUGUUAAACCAGUUUUAAAAAUAACUAAAAAAAGAGUCCGGAAACCUGAUAAUUGGAAACGAAAUAAAGCGGCAAAGUUAAGACAA